CCUACGGGUGGCAGCAGUAGGGAAUUUUGCGCAAUGGGGGAAACCCUGACGCAGCAACGCCAUGUGUGGGAUGAAGCAUUUCGGUGUGUAAACCACUGUCGGCAGGGAAUAAAGCCCGCGUUUACGCGGGGGUGAAUGUACCUGCAGAGGAAGCCCCGGCUAACUUCGUGCCAGCAGCCGCGGUAAUACGAGGGGGGCAAGUGUUGUUCGGAAUCACUGGGCGUAAAGGGAGCGUAGGCGGAAGUUUAAGUCGGGAGUUUAAAACCGGGGCCCAACCCCGGAGCGGCUCCCGAAACUGGAUUUCUUGAAUGGGACAGAGGCUAGUGGAAUUGGGGGUGUAGCGGUGGAAUGCGUAGAGAUCCCCAAGAACACCGAUUGCGAAGGCAGCUAGCUGGGUCCACAUUGACGCUGAGGCUCGAAAGCAUGGGGAGCAAACAGGAUUAGAUACCCCAGUAGUC
rnacentral:rRNA from 1 species